UCUUCUUCUUCUUAUUCUUGUUCUUCUUCUUCUUCUUCUUCUUCUUCUUCUUCUUUCUUAUUUUCCUCUCCGCUUCUUCUUCAACUUCUCUUCUUCUACUUCUCCUCUUCUUCAAUUUUUCCUCUUCUUCUCCUCUCCUCCUCUUCUUAUUCUCCUUUUUCUUCUUUUCUUCUCCUGCUCUUCUUGUUUUCCUUUUUCCUAAUCUUAUUUUCUUAUUUUUG
rnacentral:lncRNA from 1 species